rnacentral:rRNA from 1 species
UACGUAGGUGGCAAGCGUUGUCCGGAUUUACUGGGCGUAAAGAGCGCGCAGGCGGUCGUUCAAGUCGCGUGUGAAAGCCCCCCGGCUCAACUGGGGAGGGUCACGCGAUACUGAUCGACUCGAAGGCAGGAGAGGGAAGUGGAAUUCCCGGUGUAGUGGUGAAAUGCGUAGAUAUCCGGAGGAACACCAGUGGCGAAAGCGGCCACCUGGACUGCACCUGACGCUGACACGCGAAAGCUAGGGGAGCGAACGGG